CCGAAUGAAAAUGUGGAAAGCCACAAGCAAAAUGAGAAGGGUCGUUUGGGGAGGGAUGUCUGAUGAAAUGCCAAACAAGAAGUACUUAGCGGGAACGACAAAGCCAAUUCUUCCCUCUUUACAUACAUAAGAGGUGCAAACCAGCAUUUCCUGACAGAGUGAGCGCUGAAGUUCCCUUGGAAAAACUUAAAGGUUAAAGCCUGGAAGGCAAGAGGAGCACUAAUACCUGCAACCAGCAGAAGUGGAAAGUUUCAUCAGAUAGGGAUGCACACCUUUCAGUCCAGGCAGUGCCAUGAGGGCUUUGUGGGGACACAGAAGAGGCAGCGAGAGCUCCACAAUGCUCUGUCUCAUGUCAGCCUCCACCUCUGACAAGGUCCAGCUGCACUGUCAGAGGCUAAUAAACUGAGAACCUAUAAACAGGUAAAUAGCUGGCUUUACACAGGCUGUUCCAGCAGAGGAUUCCUAGAUCUCAAAAGGGCCAAGCAGCCUUAUGCCAUGGUCAUGUUUCUCUGGAGAAAGAGGUGGAUGAAAUUAGGAAAUCACCAGCAGAAGCUGUAAGUGCCUUUUCUAUGUUUAAUUAUCUUUUCUUUGCACUUUGUGUUUAUCUUACUUCAUCUACAGAAAAGAAAAUUGAACUCUAACAGCUACAGCAACACAAAGUCAUUUUAGCUAACUCCCUGUACUUUUCCUCCAAUGGAUCAAAGGCUAUCAAGUAGAAGGGAAGAAAAACAGAAGAGGUAGGAGUGGGUAUUCCUGGACAACACAAGAGUUAUCCAGUGGAGGAAAGCAUUAAAAUUAAAGCCUGUCUUUUCCUGGAAAGUUUGCACUUUGAAUGCUUCUCUUUCCUUCUCUCCCUUGCUGUCAGCCAGGCUGAGGUCUUUGUACCCAAAACCCUGCAUGCUGGGUAUGCAUUUGCUGCUGUGCAGGCAACUCGGCUCGUGCAGCCAAGGCAGGCACGUACCAGCUUGCAACAAA